CUACGGGCUGCUCCAGGCGCGAAACCUUUACAAUGCACGAAAGUGUGAUAAGGGGAUCCAAAGUGCCUAUACAUUGUAUAGGCUUUUGCCAAAGUUAAAUCCUUUGGCGAAUAAGUGGUGGGAAAGACUGGUGCCAGCCGCCGCGGUAACACCAGCGCCACAAGUGGCAACCACGUUUAUUGGGCCUAAAGCGUUCGUAGCCGGUUUAAUAAAUCUUUUGUGAAAUUGUCUGGCUUAACCAAACAACGUGCAAAGGACACUGGUAAACUUGAGACCGGGAGGAGGUGAGAGUAUUCUUGGGGGAGCGGUAAAAUGUGAUAAUCCCUAGAAGACUACCUGUGGCGAAGGCGCUCAGCUAGAACGGAUCUGACGGUGAGGGACGAAAGCCAGGGGAGCGAUCCGGAUUAGAUACCCGGGUAGUC
rnacentral:rRNA from 1 species